GCGUUGGUAGUGCAAUUGGUUAACACGCGCUCUCGUAAUGAGUGAAGUGAGAGAUCGAUUCUCGCUUGGCGUU